rnacentral:rRNA from 1 species
ACGAACGCUGGCGGCGUGCUUAACCCCUGCCAGUCGAACGGAAAGGCCCUGCUUGCAGGGUACUCGAGUGGCGAACGGGUGAGUAACACGUGGGUGAUCUGCCCUGCACUUCGGGAUAAGCCUGGGAAACUGGGUCUAAUACCGGAUAGGAGCCAUUUUUAGUGUGAUGGUUGGAAAGUUUUUUCGGUGUAGGAUGAGCUCGCGGCCUAUCAGCUUGUUGGUGGGGUAAUGGCCUACCAAGGCGGCGACGGGUAGCCGGCCUGAGAGGGUGGACGGCCACAUUGGGACUGAGAUACGGCCCAGACUCCUACGGGAGGCAGCGGUGGGGAAUAUUGCACAAUGGGCGCAAGCCUGAUGCAGCGACGCCGCGUGGGGGAUGACGGCCUUCGGGUUGUAAACUCCUUUCGCUAGGGACGAAGCUUUUUGUGACGGUACCUAGAUAAGAAGCACCGGCUAACUACGUG